rnacentral:rRNA from 1 species
GAUGAACGCUGGCGGCGUGCCUAAUACAUGCAAGUCGAGCGAAUGGAUUAAGAGCUUGCUCUUAUGAAGUUAGCGGCGGACGGGUGAGUAACACGUGGGUAACCUGCCCAUAAGACUGGGAUAACUCCGGGAAACCGGGGCUAAUACCGGAUAACAUUUUGAACCGCAUGGUUCGAAAUUGAAAGGCGGCUUCGGCUGUCACUUAUGGAUGGACCCGCGUCGCAUUAGCUAGUUGGUGAGGUAACGGCUCACCAAGGCAACGAUGCGUAGCCGGCCGGAGAGGGUGAUCGGCCACACUGGGACUGAGAAACGGCCCGGGCUCCUGCGGGUGGCAGCAGUAGGGAAGCUUCCGCAAUGGACGAAGGUCUGACGGAGCAACGCCGCGUGAGUGAUGAAGGCUUUCGGGUCGUAAAACUCUGUUGUUAGGGAAGAACAAGUGCUAGUUGAAUAAGCUGGCACCUUGACGGUACCUAACCAGAAAGCCACGGCUAACUACGUGCCAGCCGCCGCCGUAA